GACGAACGCUGGCGGCGUGCUUAACACAUGCGAGUCGAACGCUGAAGCUUGGUGCUUGCACUGGGUGGAUGAGUGGCGAACGGGUGAGUAAUACGUGAGUAACCUGCCCUUGACUCUGGGAUAAGCCUGGGAAACUGGGUCUAAUACUGGAUACGACAUGCCACUGCAUGGUGGUGUGUGGAAAGGGUUUUACUGGUUUUGGAUGGGCUCACGGCCUAUCGGCUUGUUGGUGGGGUAAUGGCCUACCAAGGCGACGACGGGUAGCCGGCCUGAGAGGGUGACCGGCCACACUGGGACUGAGAGACGGCCCAGACUCCUACGGGAGGCAGCAGUGGGGAAUAUUGCACAAUGGGCGGAAGCCUGAUGCAGCGACGCCGCGUGAGGGAUGACGGCCUUCGGGGUGUAAACCUCUUUCAGCACGGAAGAAGCGAGAGUGACGGUACGUGCAGAAGAAGCGCCGGCUAACUACGUG
rnacentral:rRNA from 1 species